rnacentral:lncRNA from 1 species
AGGUGACCAUAGAGGAGCAGAUAGUGUGACCAAAGGCAGAUUCAGGCACCCAAAAAACAAGGAAGAAAAUAGUCUGAAAAGUACAACAGCAAGAAAACAUUUACAGAAUCACACUACAUUUUCUGGUUAGAAAAAAUAGAACUGCAGAACCUCCUUGAAAGGGGCGAGACAAAAGAAGAGGGCUGGCUGAGAAACAAACCCAGAAAAGAUCAAAACCCCUCACCAUCGCCUUGAGGAAGAAAAGAAAUUAGGCUGCUGGCCUCUCCAUUUAAAGGUUGCUCCAUUGUGGUCAGGUGAGAGCCGCCAUCUCUUAGCCCACUCCCUCUGUUCCUGUUGGACUCGGAGGAGGAGCGGCCCACCUGGCAGGGUCUGCGAGCACAGAAAGCCAAGUGUCUUGGGGAAAAAACAAGAGUAAUAGAAGUUGAUAUCUCAAACUACAACAAAAGUUGCCACAAGACUUGUAAACAGAACACAAUUUGCAGGAUCAUUGCACAGGCAUUUGGAGAUCCAGCCCUGGAGAACAGAGAAGCAGCUCUUCAGCAUGACAUGUAUGAAGCAAUAUUAUUCAGGUUUUCAACUGGCAUUUGUUUCAUUGGCAAAGAACCAGAACCUGACCAGGUGAGAGCAGCUCAACCACGGCCAGUCCUGACAAGUUGAUUCCAAAGAAAUCCGAGAAGCUGAGCAUGUCAAGCUCUUGUUCUGUAUUUCCUGAACUGGUCAGCAAGGAUACCACGUAAGAAGAUUUGAAACUGGAGGAAUAAAGGACUAGAAAAAUAUUUGUGGUUACAAAGUCACCUUUGUCUAGGUUUUUUGAGCAAACAAAAGUGAUAAUAAAGUGACUCUUUGGUAUCUGGAAGCUGGUUCUACAGCCCCUUCCUAAAUAUUUCACAGGAUACAAUGACUAGGGUUAAUAAUAUCUUUUCUCUAAUUUUUCAGUACCAUUGUAAUUUCCUCACCACACAUUAGUUAAAUACAAGACACCUCUUAAUUGCUUUUCCAUAUCUGGAUUAGCUCUGGGAUUGAUAUUUACAAAAUUAAUUUUGAGGGGAU